rnacentral:sRNA from 1 species
ACUGACCUUAUCUCUUCAGAUUCUUUAGGUUGGGAUCCACUAAGAACAAACGCCAAGCACUGACCAACACUUUACCGGGAGUUAGGAGAUGCUCGGUAUAAUAGAGAAUGAACCCACCUUAUUAAGUGGUCCUCUAGACAGGCUCCUCUUUUCUCCCCAGCAGGAAAGCAAAGGCCCAUGGGGAGGCUGGCUAGUUGUGAAAUGACAUACAUUUCAAAAUUGUUUUCCAGAUAUCCCUCAACAACUUCUUUCUCUCCUGAAGUGUGAAAUUUAAUUACCCAUGUUAGACAUGCAUUCGUGAUCACAUAUUUUUAUUGCCUAAAACUCUUCAGUCUUUUAAAAUGUAAGGACAGAAUCCCAGUUACAGAAAAAUCUUUGACAUCGGAGAUUUGUACAAGAAAUGAUUUACUGGAGGAGCUGCUAGACAUGUAAUGCCCCGGAGUGACAUAUCUACAAGCAAGGGGGACGCAGCUCUGAGCAGAAGGCCUCAGAACAGAGCAAACAAACAGGAGAUGUUUCCUGAUGCCCUGUACAAGAAGAUGUAAGACAGGAACAUAAAGGAGCACACAAUCCAAGAGGGACUGAAUACCGACAGAAGAGACUGCUUUUCUUCUACUGUGGAAUAUUAACAUUUGUCAUAAGAACAAUGCUACCAAAAAACAAAAGAUCAAGGGCGAAUUAAUUUCCACAGAUCCCCACGUAUCCAGUGGGACCAGAGACUAAAGUGAGAUCCCAGAAGUUGAAAGCAUGUGUCUACCAUGUGACUUGAGUGACAGAAGAGUCCUCUCAUCUGAGUGGUUUGUGCCACUUCAUGCCACCACCAGUCUAGCUCACUCAUAGCCCUAGAGAAAGAAGCCUGAAAAUGGAGGGCCAAAAGACACCAAACCUCCUUCCCAUGAGGCCACAGGAAUACAUGUGUCCGCAUAGCCUUGGCAGGCUGAUUGUGAAAGAAGACAAUGUCUCCAGUUAGGAAGAUAAUGUAUUGGAGUA